AGAGGAAGGGUGAAGUAUUUCUGCAGUGUUUCAGUCUCUUCAUAUCUAGCUUCAAACAGCAAGUCUGUUUGCUUUUCUAUCCCAACGGCUUAGCAGGGAGGUCUGCUACUGGCUCUGGUGCAGUUCUGCUGGAACUCCCACAUUGGGACUAAUUGUUUCUCUGUUUAAGCUGCGGGCUCGUUUGAUGAUGAGUGUCAUUGCAGUCCAGUCUGUGAAAAUGGUGACAGCCAACAUGUUGCUGAGUGUCUUCUUUGUUUCAGGUGCUCUGGAUGAUUGUCCUAAAAAAACAUCCCUAUUCAUUACUGCACCAAAGAACAUAGAAGCACUGAGUGGAUCUUGUCUGCUAAUCCCAUGUAACUUCAGGUCUAAACCAGAUCAGGAUUUCAACAGCACAAGAACAACCUUCGGAGUGUGGAUUAAAAAUGAUAUACAUUUUAGCGACAAAACAAAUAAUGUGAUUUUCAACAGUAGUAGGGUGAAUAAUAGAUAUCCAAUGAGUAUUACUGGAGACCUGAGUCAGAAACAAUGCACCACCUUGUUUUCUAGUUUAAUCCCAAGUUACACAGACACAUACUACUUCAGAAUAGAGAA